GUGAGGAAUAUUGGUCAAUGGGCGGGAGCCUGAACCAGCCAAGUCGCGUGAAGGAAGAAGGAUCUAUGGUUCGUAAACUUCUUUUGCAGGGGAAUAAAGUGCAGGACGUGUCCUGUUUUGUAUGUACCCUGAGAAUAAGGAUCGGCUAACUCCGUGCCAGCAGCCGCGGUAAUACGGAGGAUCCAAGCGUUAUCCGGAUUUAUUGGGUUUAAAGGGUGCGCAGGCGGGUUGAUAAGUCAGCGGUGAAAGUUUGCAGCUUAACUGUAAAAUUGCCGUUGAAACUGUCGAUCUUGAGUGCAAAUGAGGUAAGCGGAAUGUGUUGUGUAGCGGUGAAAUGCUUAGAUAUAACACAGAACACCGAUUGCGAAGGCAGCUUACUGGGAUGCAACUGACGCUCAUGCACGAAAGCGUGGGGAUCAAACAGGAUUAGAAACCCGUGUAGUCC
rnacentral:rRNA from 1 species